rnacentral:rRNA from 1 species
CAAUAGCGUAUAUUAAAGUUGUUGCGGUUAAAAAGCUCGUAGUUGGAUUUCUGCUGAGAACGACCGGUCCGCCCUUUGGGUGUGUAUCUGGCUCUUUCUUGGCAUCUUCUUGGUGAACGUUGCUGCACUUGACUGUGUGGAGCGCUACCCAGGACUUUUACUUUGAGGAAAUUAGAGUGUUUCAAGCAGGCAUACGCCUUGAAUACAUUAGCAUGGAAUAAUAAGAUAGGACCUCGGUUCUAUUUUGUUGGUUUCUAGAGCUGAGGUAAUGAUUAAUAGGGAUAGUUGGGGGCAUUCGUAUUUAACUGUCAGAGGUGAAAUUCUUGGAUUUGUUAAAGAUGGACUACUGCGAAAGCAUUUGUCAAGGAUGUUUUCAUUGA